GUUUUCGUGAUCUGUAAUUGCACGAAGAGGAUAUGGCUAUACACAAGAACUAUUACGGUUAACAAGAACAAGACCGGGGAGUUUAUCACAUAUGCAGAUGUUUCAAAAAUGAAAUAUUCAAACAAGGUGGUGGAAGAAACAAUAAGAUUGGCCAACGUUGCAGCAUUUGUUUUCCGAUUGGCUACUAAGGAAGUUGAGUAUAAAGGUUAUAAUAUACCCAAGGAUUGGAGAGUGAUUGUUUGGGUUCGAUAUCUCCACACAAAUUCAGAGAAUUUUGAUGAUCCCAUGUGCUUCAACCCAGAUAGAUGGAACGUA